AGCAGCAGCCGCGGUAAUACAGAGGAUGCAAGCGUUGUCCGGAUUUAUUGGGCGUAAAGCGAGCGCAGGCGGUUAGAUAAGUCUGAAGUUAAAGGCUGUGGCUUAACCAUAGUACGCUUUGGAAACUGUUUAACUUGAGUGCAAGAGGGGAGAGUGGAAUUCCAUGUGUAGCGGUGAAAUGCGUAGAUAUAUGGAGGAACACCGGUGGCGAAAGCGGCUCUCUGGCUUGUAACUGACGCUGAGGCUCGAAAGCGUGGGGAGCAAACAGGAUUAGAUACCCCCGUAGUCCCUGUCUCUUAUACA
rnacentral:rRNA from 1 species